UACGUAGGUGGCAAGCGUUAUCCGGAAUUAUUGGGCGUAAAGCGCUCGCAGGCGGUUUCUUAAGUCUGAUGUGAAAGCCCACGGCUCAACCGUGGAGGGUCAUUGGAAACUGGGAGACUUGAGUGCAGAAGAGGAGAGUGGAAUUCCACGUGUAGCGGUGAAAUGCGUAGAGAUGUGGAGGAACACCAGUGGCGAAGGCGACUCUCUGGUCUGUAACUGACGCUGAAGCUCGAAAGCUAGGGGAGCAAACGGG
rnacentral:rRNA from 1 species